rnacentral:misc_RNA from 1 species
AAGUCGUAACAAGGUUUCUGUAGGUGAACCUGCAGAAGGAUCAUUAGUGAAGAUUUGGGCAGGCCAUACGGACGCCAAAGAGUGUCCCUGGCCGCCUACACCCAUAUACAUCCACAAACCCGUGUGCACUGGAUCUUGGAGAAAGGCAUUCAUUGAGGCAAGUUUUUUGUGGCCUUCGUCUUUGGGUUCUUUCUUCUGCUAACAAACUCGAAUGGUUAGUAUGAACGUGGAACUUGGUUGGACCGUCACUGGCCAACAAACUAUACACAA